rnacentral:rRNA from 1 species
UACGUAGGUGGCGAGCGUUGUCCGGAUUUACUGGGCGUAAAGGGAGCGUAGGCGGACUUUUAAGUGAGAUGUGAAAUACUCGGGCUCAACUUGAGUGCUGCAUUUCAAACUGGAAGUCUAGAGUGCAGGAGAGGAGAAUGGAAUUCCUAGUGUAGCGGUGAAAUACGUAGAGAUUAGGAAGAUCACCAGUGGCGAAGGCGAUUCUCUGGACUGUGACUGACGCUGAGGCUCGAAAGCGUGGGGAGCAAACAGG